rnacentral:rRNA from 1 species
GACGAACGCUGGCGGCGUGCUUAACACAUGCAAGUCGAACGGAAAGGCCCUGCUUUUGUGGGGUGCUCGAGUGGCGAACGGGUGAGUAACACGUGAGUAACCUGCCCUUGACUUUGGGAUAACUUCAGGAAACUGGGGCUAAUACCGGAUAGGUGCUCCUGCUUCAUGGUGGGGGUUGGAAAGUUUCGGCGGUUGGGGAUGGACUGGCGGGUUAUCAGCUUGUUGGUGGGGUAGUGGCUUACCAAGGAGCCGAUCAGUAGCUGGUCUGAAAGGAUGACCAGCCACAUUGGGACUGAGACACGGCCCAACCUCCUACGGGAGGCAGCGGUGGGGAAUAUUGAACAAUGGGGGCAACCCUGAUCCAGCCAUGCCGCGUGAGUGAUGAAGGCCCUAGGGUUGUAAAGCUCUUUUGUGCGGGAAGAUAAUGACGGUACCGCAAGAAUAAGCCCCGGCUAACUUCGUG